AAAUUAUUUUUUUUAUUAUAAUUCAGUUCAUGAACUACAAUUAUUUUUGGAUACAUGUACCAUGCAAUUUAAUGUAUGAUUAUUUUGUAUUUAUUUGCACUAAAGUUGUAAACUUGUAAUACAUAAGUAUAUACUCUCUAAGUUGAGUAUAAAUGUAUUCAUACCUACAGGAAAUGCAUGCAAUUUCCUCAGAUUUUACAUUAAAGCUUAAUUACUUUUUUUUAGACAAAGAAUAUAAAUAUUUUAAUUUUUAGUGAAAGUAAAUUUUUCCCUUUAUUUUUAAUAUUAACUUCAAAGAUUUAAGUGGCUGGUAUUUUAUCCUACAGAGAGUAAGUCUUCCAUUUUCACAGAAAUAUUGUUUCAAAUUGCUGACUCCUAGAUUGCAGCACUCACACAUAAUUCUUGCCUGUCCUGAUAUCCUCUGUUCCUACAAUGUCCACUGUCAAACUUUUUACAGAAAACUGGAAGGUGUUCACUGAAAUGCUGUGCUGGGAUGUUGGAAGACUGUGCAGUAGUUCCGGUUACAAAUGAGGAUGGAUCCAUCCUGAUCCAAGAGGUUCCUGUUAUAUACUCUGCCAUGCGGCUAGAGGCCUUGCAUUGUGACAUGGCUGUUACCGCUGAUGUUAUACACAACACACCCCUGCACUUCAUGCUUGUGAGUCACCACUGCAGUCAGUUAUGAGUUAGAACAUUAUUUUUUGACCUGCCAACUGUUCCACUGUUCCCAGGCUGGGAACCUGACAGCCUUUUGCUGUGUCUUACUGUCAUGCAAAGAAAAUAUGACUAUUAUCCACAAAUCAAAUAUUUAAUGAUUAUAAUGUUUUCAGUUU